GACGAACGCUGGCGGCGUGCUUAACACAUGCAAGUCGAACGGUAAGGCCCUUCGGGGUACACGAGUGGCGAACGGGUGAGUAACGCGUGAGUAACCUGCCCUUCACUCUGGGAUAACAGUUGGAAACGGCUGCUAAUACCGGAUAUUCAGCUCCUGUCGCAUGGUGGGGGUUGGAAAGUUUUGGUGGUGGAGGAUGGGCUCGCGUCCUAUCAGCUUGUUGGUGGGGUGAUGGCCUACCAAGGCGUCGACGGGUAGCCGGCCUGAGAGGGCGACCGGCCACAUUGGGACUGAGAUACGGCCCAAACUCCUACGGGAGGCAGCAGUGGGGAAUAUUGCACAAUGGGCGGAAGCCUGAUGCAGCAACGCCGCGUGCGGGAUGACGGCCUUCGGGUUGUAAACCGCUUUCAGCAGGGACGAAGCGCAAGUGACGGUACCUGCAGAAGAAGCACCGGCUAACUACGUGC
rnacentral:rRNA from 1 species